ACCAUCUUUCCUAUUUACACUUAUCUACCUAUCUAGGUUAAGUUAGAGCGUAGAUCAGUUAUCCCGUUUCCCUGUGGAUACGAUAAAACCUUUAACCGGGUAAAAGCUACAACGGUAUCCGUGCGCUUGCGGAUUUAUCUGUGUGCGUAUAAAUACCAUAGUAUACUCUAUUGCCAUGCUGGGGAUGACAACCUAGUAUUCAAGUGGUGUUAGCAAGUGUCAACAAGCAUUUUUGGUGCCGUUGCCGGGGAGACGGUUGCAGAGUUGACUACGAACUAGCUUAAUCAUUUUCUAAAAAAAUAAAAAUAAAUAUAUAUUUUCCUUUUAUCCUUUGCCUCAUCUCUGCUAUUCUUUCCUCUUAUCUAUUCCUUGAUUUUUGGUCUAUCAUGAAUGCAAACAUGUCUAUCUAUCAGUUUCAUAGACC
rnacentral:lncRNA from 1 species